GUCUACAGCCAUCCCACCCUGAAUGCACCCAAUCUCAUCUGAUCUCAGAAGCUAAGCGGGGUCAGACCUGGUUAGUGCUUGGCUGGGGGAGUAGGAAUCUAUGCGGUGGUGUGGUUU
rnacentral:rRNA from 1 species